rnacentral:rRNA from 1 species
UCUAAUACCGGAUAWUACYCCUGCCUGCAUGNGNGGGGGUUGAAAGCUCCGGCGGUGAAGGAUGAGCCCGCGGCCUAUCAGCUUGUUGGUGGGGUAAUGGCCCACCAAGGCGACGACGGG